UACGUAGGGGGCAAGCGUUGUCCGGAAUUAUUGGGCGUAAAGAGCUCGUAGGCGGUUUGUCGCGUCGGCCGUGAAAACUUGGGGCUUAACUCCAAGCUUGCGGUCGAUACGGGCAGACUUGAGUUCGGCAGGGGAGACUGGAAUUCCUGGUGUAGCGGUGAAAUGCGCAGAUAUCAGGAGGAACACCGGUGGCGAAGGCGGGUCUCUGGGCCGAUACUGACGCUGAGGAGCGAAAGCGUGGGGAGCGAACAGG
rnacentral:rRNA from 1 species